CUAAUCAUCCUUAAUCUUCCAGUCAUCCUUAUACUUUUGAUGGUAAGGAUGACUGGGACUCUUUUAUCAUUCCUUUUGAGCGCAGAGCUGCCAUUUACAGAUGGAGUGCAGUAGAGACAGUGGAUAAACUGUAUGAAUGUCUAAGGGGCGCUGCUGUUAGAUAUUUGUGCUCAUUACCUGAACACAUACGUGAGGAUUACUUUCUGCUGAAAGAACAGCUGGCUUUCCAAUUUGGCGAAAAAGAGCCUCUCACCACAGCACGGAGGAGACUUGGGGGAACUGCACCAGUCUAAAGAAACUGUUUCACGAAGGAGAUUCACAGGCUAGUCAUUCUGGCUUAUCCUGGAGUUGACAUUGAGUUCAGGGAGCAAAUUGCUGCUGACGCUUCCCUAAACGGGCUGCGCAACCAGAAAGUGGCAUACAAAGUUAUGAACCAUGAACCUGUAUCACUGGAUGAGGCACAGCGGCUAGUUUCAUCCUAUGAACACAACUUCAAAUCAACACUUGGGCGAGACUUCGAUCAGAGGGGAAGGACAUGUCGAGUAUCCUGGGCUGAUCUAGACAUGGACCCUGAUGAGCCACAGGCCUUGCAGUCACAUCGAGUGCAGUCGCAGGGCUACGUUACACAGCACCAGUUGCAAGCACUCAUGGAUAAAGUUGAUAAACUCCAACAAGCCAUAGACCAUCUACCUCCUCCCUCUUCUGUUGUUCUCCCUUCUACAGUAAGACCCACCCAUCAGACAAAUUCCAGUGUGGCAGUCCAGUCAGAAAGGGGACCUGCAUCUCAGACUUCUUUCAAGUCAAACAGAUAUAGACAGCAGAGUAACAGCCCUACCAGAGCUGCUAGUGGGCCAUGUUUUCAGUGUGGGUUGGAGGGGCAUUACAAAAGAAACUGUUUACGGUCUCCCAGUCCAUCUACAAGUCCACCUGCAAAUACUGUGACCAAAAUGGAGCCCCCAAAUCAAAAUCGUUCUGAGCAAACAGAGCAAAGUCCAUCCAUUAUACAUGUAAAUAGAGCUGAGAGUCGAGGGUCCAGUUUAAUGAUCUUGAUUCGUGAUGCCCUGCUCCUGGGUUUGGAUUUCUUAAAAGCUGCUGAUUUCACCAUACAUGCCUCUGGCAGAAUUUUCAUGGGCUCAGAACUCAUCCCAGCAUAUAUAUCUGAAGGCAAGGGGCCAGACUACGCCAUUUCGAGGGUGAUGUUAGAGAGUGAUUUCACUGUGCCGCUAGAGUGUGAAUGCUUAGUCUGGGGUGUGGUAGAUGACCUAAAACCAGAACUCUCUGCUGUUCUAGAGCCUGUUAGCCUGGCUGAUGGAGUGUCUUCAGGCAGUAUUAUAAUUAACAUAGAACAGAGAAUUCCAGUCAGGCUAUGCAACAUCACAGCUUCUUGUAGACCUUUAUCAAGGGGAGUCUGUUUAGGGGUGCUCAUUGAAGCAUAUCCUGAUGCUCAAGAGGAAGGAGAGCGAGCCUAUACAGUUCCAGUUGAGGGACAGUUUUAUGCAAAAGGUGGGGAAUCCAUGCUACCAGACCCCAACAGUGAUCCUCUGGAUGAACACCAUGUGACCUUCCAGAACCUCAGACAUUUGUUCACUUCUGCAAGCGAAACUCUCACAGAACAUCAGCAAGAGCAAGAGAUGUUAAUAGCUCUACUGAGUGAACACCAAGACGUUUUUGCAGCAACUGAUGAUGAUCUCGGGAAGUUCUCUGCUCUGCAGCACAGUAUUGAUACAGGAAUGGCUAAGCCUGUUCAACAGCCAGUAAAACGUAACCCUUUAGGGUUCUGGAAUGAGGAGGAAACGCAUCUGAAAAAAAAUGCUUGAAGCAGGUAUUGUCAUCCCCUCAAGCUCUGAAUGGGCAUCCCCUAUCGUCCUUGUAAGGAAGAUAGAUGGUGGUGCAUAGAUUAUCGCCAGCUUAAUGACCUUACUAUUAAGGAUGCAUAUCCC
rnacentral:lncRNA from 1 species